rnacentral:tRNA from 1 species
UUUUAAUUAGUAUAAUAGUACAACUACCUUCCAAGUAGGAGGUCUUUAGAGGUUAUAAU